rnacentral:rRNA from 1 species
ACUCCUACGGGAGGCAGCAGUGGGAAUAUUGCGCAAUGGGCGAAAGCCUGACGCAGCCAUGCCGCGUGUGUGAAGAAGGCCUUCGGGUUGUAAAGCACUUUCAAUUGGGAAGAAAGCUGCUGCCUAAUAAGCAUCAGCUGUGACAUUACCUUUAGAAGAAGCACCGGCUAACUCCGUGCCAGCAGCCGCGGUAAUACGGAGGGUGCGAGCGUUAAUCGGAAUUACUGGGCGUAAAGCGCAUGCAGGUGGUUUGUUAAGUCAGAUGUGAAAGCCCGGGGCUCAAGCCUCGGAAUAGCAUUUGAAACUGGCAAGCUAGAGUACUGUAGAGGGGUGGAGAAUUUCAGGUGUAGCGGUGAAAUGCGUAGAGAUCUGAAGGAAUACCGGUGGCGAAGGCGGCCCCUGCGCAGAUACUGACACUCAGAUGCGAAAGCGUGGGGAGCAAACAGGAUUAGAUACCCUGGUAGGCUCU